UACGUAGGGGGCAAGCGUUGCCCGGAUUUACUGGGCGUAAAGAGCGUGUAGGCGGCCAAGCAGGUCCGUUGUGAAAACUGGAGGCUUAACCUUCAGACGUCGACGGAAACCGCGCGGCUAGAGUCCUGAAGAGGAGAGUGGAAUUCCUGGUGUAGCGGUGAAAUGCGCAGAUAUCAGGAAGAACACCAAUGGCGAAGGCAGCUCUCUGGGACGGUACUGACGCUGAGACGCGAAAGCGUGGGGAGCGAACAGG
rnacentral:rRNA from 1 species